GCGGCCUUGGACCCAUGGGACGUCGUACCAGCCAGGCAGCCACCUGCAUCAACGAGUGCGUCACCCACGCGGGGCGCAGCUGCCGCGGGUGACGCCGCCACCCCGGGGUAGUGGCGGAGGGCGAGGAGGGCAAAGCGCUCGCGCUACGGCGGCAGCGCCGCGAGAGCCAGCGAGGGCAUCCGCUCCUGGCGUACUCCUGAUUCGUUUUCCCCACCGCGGCGAGUGCUUUGUCCAUGAUGAGCAAUGAGUUGAUGGUUUAUUUUGCCGUGUGAGAUGACAUUUUAGCCAAGUUGGAGUGAAUGAUAGGGACUUAAGAUUUGUGUAUAUUUAUGAUGAGCUGGCAGUGCAGUGGUCGCUCAAGGAAGGUAACAAGUUGUGUUACUAUAAUCAGAUUACAAAGUAAGGAUACUUUAAUUUUAUAAUCAUUCGUAAAUGUGUUAUUUGUAUAUCGUGUAAAGACCGUACUUGGAAUAAACACGACGCCUCCACAUGAAUUUGUAUCUCUUGCUUGGUAAUUUCAGUGAUGAAGGCAUGCGAGCCAUGUCAGAUAUGAACUUGUAUAGACGUUGGAUACUUCAGUCAAAUAUUACCUAAUCAAAUGUAAAACA